rnacentral:rRNA from 1 species
CACACACGUAAAGCCCCGACAAUGGUUUUCAAGCUUGACUUCAGGAAAGCUUUCGACUCCAUUUGCUGGUCCUCCCUCAUCAAAAUCCUACAAGCUAGAGGGUUCCCUCCAACUUUCUGUUCUUGGGUAAAAAACAUUCUGAUCACUGGGAAAACGGCUAUCCUCCUAAAUGGCAUCCCGGGGCCCUGGAUACAAUGUAGAUGUGGUCUACGCCAAGGGGACCCAUUCUCGCCAUACUUGUUCAUCAUCGUUGCAGAUGUUCUUCAAAGAUUGAUCGCCAGCGCUUUCCAAACGAACGUACUUUGUCACUCGCUACGACCAAACGAACCACCUGUGACGCUUCAAUACGCCGACGAUACCCUCAUUAUUGCUGCAGCUAACGAAGCCGCCACCUUAACUCUAAAAAAACUCUUCACGAUUUUGCCCUGGCAACAGGGCUGGUUAUCAACUUCCAAAAAACGGCACUUCUCACCACCGCCUCUGACUCAGCCACGCAAAACAACAUAG